rnacentral:rRNA from 1 species
GACAAACAGAUCAAAUCAAGUAGAAUUGGUAUAAAAAAAGGUGAAAUUAGUUAGUGUAGAGAAUUAAUUUCUUGUGGGGAGGUGGAAUUUGUACACAAGAAUUUUUAUUGACUGUUUUUGAGAAGGAUUGAUGCCUUGAAAAUUAAAUUAGAGACCGGGAUUAGAUACCCCGUUAUUUUUUUUGUAAAUUUUGAUUAUUUAAAAUAAUUUACCUGAGUAUUACGGGUUAAAAUAGUGUAUUUUAUCAAUACAAUUUUUAGUUACUUAAAACUCAAAAAACUUGGCGGUGCUUUAAUUCCUUCCAGGGGAACCUGUCCUGUAAUCGAUGAUCCACGAUUGAUCUUACUUUUUUUAGGGCUUAUUAGGCUUCAGUUUGUAUACCGUCGUCGUCAGAUUACCUUUAAGAGUUAAGAAGUUGUCUAGUAAAUAGUGAUGAUUAGUUAAUGAUUUAUAAAAUAAAGUAAACUAAUAAUUCAAUUUUGAUGUCAGAUCAAGGUGCAGCUUAUAAAAAAGUAGUGAUGGGUUACAAUAUAGAAUUUAUAUUAUGGAUAUAAGUUUGUAAUAAUUUAAUGAAAGUGGACUUGGGAGUAAUAUAAUAAAAUUAGAAUGUUUUUGUGAAUAGAGGUACUAAGGCGUGC